rnacentral:rRNA from 1 species
GGGGAAUAUUGCACAAUGGAGGAAACUCUGAUGCAGCGACGCCGCGUGAGUGAAGAUGGUCUUCGGAACGUAAAACUCUGUCCAUGGUGCCGAAAAAAAUGACAGUAGCCAAGGAGGAAUCCUCGGCCAACUACGUGCCAGCAGCCGCGGUAAUACGUAGGGGGCGAGCGUUUUCCGGAUUUACUGGGCGUAAAGGGUGAGUAGGCGGUAAUAUGUGUCAGAUGUAAAAGGCUAUGGCUUAACCAUAGUUGGCGUUUGAAACUGUAUUACUUGAGUGCAGGAGAGGUAAGUGGAAUUCCUAGUGUAGCGGUGAAAUGCGUAGAUAUUAGGAGGAACACCAGUGGCGAAGGCGACUCACUGGACUGUAACUGACGCUGAGUCACGAAAGCGUGGGUAGCAAACA